AGUAUAAUUAACAACAUGUCUUGUAUAUGAUUAGGAAUACGGCCUAAUUGUUUCUACCAAGCUGCCGUAAAUGGCUUGACUACAGGAGUUUUGUUAUAUUUA
rnacentral:ncRNA from 2 species